CCAAUAGCGUAUAUUAAAGUUGUUGCAGUUAAAAAGCUCGUAGUUGAAUUUCGGGACCAAUCUGCCGGUCGUGCCUCCGGUACGCACUGGUUUUAUUGGUUUCUCCCUUCUGACGAACCAUGAUGUCAUUAAUUUGGUGUCAUGGGGAAUCAGGACUGUUACUUUGAAAAAAUUAGAGUGUUUAUAGCAGGCUCACGCUUGAAUACAUUAGCAUGGAAUAAUGAAAUAGGACGUUUGACCUUAUUUUGUUGGUUUCUAGGAUCGACGUAAUGAUUAAUAGGGUUAGUUGGGGGCAUUAGUAUUCAAUUGUCAGAGGUGAAAUUCUUGGAUUUAUUGAAGACUAACUACUGCGAAAGCAUUUGCCAAGGAUGUUUUCAUUAAUCAAGAACGAAAGUUAGGGGAUCGAAGACGAUCAGAUACCGUCGUAGUCUUAACCAUAAACUAUGCCGACUAGGGAUCGGAUGAUGUUAAUUUUUUAAUGACUCAUUCGGCGCCUUACG
rnacentral:misc_RNA from 1 species